rnacentral:rRNA from 1 species
GACGAGGGGUCCUAGCGUUGUUCGGAAUCACUGGGCGUAAAGCGCAUGUAGGCGGCUUGAUAAGUCAGUUGUGAAAGCCCUGGGCUUAACCCAGGAAGUGCAUCUGAUACUGUCGAGCUUGAGUAUGAGAGAGGGUAGUAGAAUUCCUGGUGUAGUGGUGAAAUACGUAGAUAUCAGGAGGAAUACCGGUGGCGAAGGCGGCUACCUGGCUCAAUACUGACGCUGAGAUGCGAAAGCGUGGGGAUCAAACAGG